rnacentral:tRNA from 1 species
GGCCCUCUAGUAAAAAUUACACUGCCUUGUCAGAGCAGAGUUGCAGGUUAAACUCCUGCGGGGGCCU